AGUGUAAGAAGGCCAUCUACAAUCAAGAUUGAGAGUGGCUCUAACAAGUGCCAUUUUUCCUUGUUAGCUUUCAUUUCUCAGCCCUUUACAAGAUUAAAAUAGUCUGCAGUUUAAUCUCUCCAAAGCUUUACGGACAGUGAUUCUGUCCUAAACAAGACAGUGACUCCAGGAUUUCUGAAGACUAUUGUGGAAGAAGCAUCCAUUAAGGCCAAGCUAUAACUUCAGAAAUGGUGAAUGAAUACAAGAAAAUUCUUUUGCUGAAAGGAUUUGAGCUCAUGGAUGAUUAUCAUUUUACAACAAUUAAGUCCUUACUGGCCUAUGAUUUAGGACUAACUACAAAAAUGCAAGAGGAAUACAACAGAAUUAAGAUUACAGAUUUGAUGGAAAAAAAGUUCCAAGGCGUUGCCUGUCUAGACAAACUAAUAGAACUUGCCAAAGAUAUGCCAUCACUUAAAAACCUUGUUAACAAUCUUCGAAAAGAGAAGUCAAAAGGUAAUAGAGAAAACCUUGCACAUAGCUACUCUGCCUUGAGUCUCCCCAGUCUUCAGUAGAACCCCACCUUGGUCAUAGCUGGUACAUCCCUUUUCCAAUUUAUAACUCAGCAGUCAUGGGGAUGUUGGCACCUCAGAGACUGACCAGUUGGCAAUUUAGAACAUUCUGUUUCAUAUGAAAGAGAUUGAUAUAUUUAGAAGAAUGUAUUUGAGGUAAGGAUAAAAAACCAAAGACAGGGAUUUAUGAGAGGGUGAGUGUUUCAGUAAAUCAAAAAUGUCAGAAAAUGAAAAAAAAAAGCUACUUUAA
rnacentral:sRNA from 1 species